rnacentral:rRNA from 1 species
CACGAUGGAGGCGCAAGCGUUGUCCGGAAUUAUUGGGCGUAAAGAGCUCGUAGGCGGUCUGUUGCGUCCGCUGUGAAAACUCGGGGCUUAACCCCGAGCCUGCAGUGGAUACGGGCAGACUAGAGGUAGGUAGGGGAGAAUGGAAUUCCCGGUGUAGCGGUGAAAUGCGCAGAUAUCGGGAGGAACACCGGUGGCGAAGGCGGUUCUCUGGGCCUUACCUGACGCUGAGGAGCGAAAGCGUGGGGAGCGAACAGG